UGGGCAACCUGCCCUAUACUGGGGAAUAAUCACUGGAAACGGUGACUAAUACCGCAUGUCAUCACGAGAAGGCAUCUUUUGUGAGAAAAGGAGUAAUUCGGUAUAGGAUGGGCCCGCAUCUGAUUAGCUAGUUGGUGAGAUAACAGCCCACCAAGGCGACGAUCAGUAGCCGACCUGAGAGGGUGAUCGGCCACAUUGGGACUGAGACACGGCCCAA
rnacentral:rRNA from 1 species